rnacentral:misc_RNA from 1 species
GAUGAAGAACGCAGCGAAAUGCGAUAAGUAAUGUGAAUUGCAGAAUUCAGUGAAUCAUCGAAUCUUUGAACGCACAUUGCGCCCGCCAGUAUUCUGGCGGGCAUGCGUGUUCGAGCGUCAUUACAACCCUCAGGCCCCCGGGCCUGGCGUUGGGGAUCGGCGGAGCCCCCCGUGGGCACACGCCGUCCCCCAAAUGCAGUGGCGGUCCCGCCGCAGCUUCCAUCGCGUAGUAGCUAACACCUCGCGACUGGAGAGCGGCGCGGCCACGCCGUAAAACACCCAACUCUUCUGAAGUUGACCUCGAAUCAGGUAGGAAUACCCGCUGAACUUAAGCAUAUCAAUAAGCGGAGGA